AGAAUGCGAUUUAAAUUUUUGAAUGCGCGGUUUUGCUCACCUCAGCCGCGUGAAUUUCAGCUCGGAUCGGCACUCAUCGGCCAUCGGCGAUCAGCGUCUUGAGUUCACGCACAUCCCCGGUUUAAGUCAAGCUGUCUGCCGGUUAAUGAAUGAGGCUAUGGUGACUUACUAGAGGAACUGCAGUUGGUCCUGGACAGAGCUCGACCCUCCGUGGCUUUGGUGUCCUCCAUCUGAAUCAGAGCUUUCAUCAUGGGUGUCAGAGGAACAUCUUUCUUCUUCUGCUCAUCGGUGUGAAGCUGUAUCUGCUCUCUCUCUGGAGGAGACAGCCAUCUGGAGACGUGAAGAGACACGCCUCCUUCUCAUCCACCUCCUUACAGGCGCGUUGGACGGCUUCUUCCAGCUGUCGCAGGCGGUUCUUCAGUUUGUUCACGGUACCGUCUUUCUCGCGGCUGCUGUGUUUGGUCUCCUCUAAUCUCUGCUGC